AUGCAGCCGAGCGGUAGGGUUUCUUCGGAACCUGAGAGCGGCGCACGGGUGCGGAACACGUGUGCAACCUACCUUUAUCAGGGGGAUAGCCUUUCGAAAGGAAGAUUAAUACCCCAUAAUAUAUUGAACGGCAUCGUUUAAUAUUGAAAACUCCGGUGGAUAGAGAUGGGCACGCGCAAGAUUAGAUAGUUGGUGAGGUAACGGCUCACCAAGUCAGUGAUCUUUAGGGGGCCUGAGAGGGUGAUCCCCCACACUGGUACUGAGACACGGACCAGACUCCUACGGGAGGCAGCAGUGAGGAAUAUUGGACAAUGGGUGAGAGCCUGAUCCAGCCAUCCCGCGUGAAGGAUGACGGCCCUAUGGGUUGUAAACUUCUUUUGUAUAGGGAUAAACCUUUCCACGUGUGGAAAGCUGAAGGUACUAUACGAAUAAGCACCGGCUAACUCCGUGCCAGCAGCCGCGGUAAUACGGAGGGUGCAAGCGUUAUCCGGAUUUAUUGGGUUUAAAGGGUCCGUAGGCGGACUCGUAAGUCAGUGGUGAAAUCUCAUAGCUUAACUAUGAAACUGCCAUUGAUACUGCGGGUCUUGAGUAAAGUAGAGGUAGCUGGAAUAAGUAGUGUAGCGGUGAAAUGCAUAGAUAUUACUUAGAACACCAAUUUGCGAAGGCAGGUUACCAUGUCUUAACUGACGCUGAUGGACGA
rnacentral:rRNA from 1 species